GUGUAGUGACAAUGAGGAAGUGUUGUUCCGACGACGAAGGGACAAGAGGCGUUUUGGAGGAGCACCAGGGGGUAAACUAGUUGUCUUUCAUGAGACAGAUGAACAAUAACUCUGAAGGAAAAUUGGACAUGAGGAGUUCAGAAGCCAGUGCUGAGGGUGUCUGUCUCCGUGGGGGUCUUGCGUGGGCUAGGUAAGCUCUUCAGAUACUCCAAAUGCCUGCGGGCCUCGGCUUGGUUCUGCCUGACAUAGUAGACCACAUAGACAAUCACCAUGAAGAACCACACAAACAUGGUGACCAGCAUGGCCACGUCUGUGGUUUUCCUGUGCAGGCUGCAGAAAUUCACCCCGGAGUCCAACAGUCUGACCAGAGGCUGUCCGGCGUGCUCUCCAAGCCCCCCGGGCUCCUCCCACCUACUGGACUCGCCGAGCCCCCGUACGGAACUCUCGCAAACGAUGCCGUUCACCGUCUCUGGCUCCAGGUUGAGAGUCUCCAUCAGCUCCUGCAGGGUGCAGUCGCAGUGCCACGGGUUGUGAUAGAGGCGGGUCUUUGCUUGCGUUGACCCGAACUCGUCCCUGCUGGCUUGUCUCAGCUGGUUGUGCGACAGGUCCAGGAGGCGGAGCUCCGGCCCCAGAUGCCGCAGGGCGCCCGAGGACAGCGUGUCAAUGUGAUUGUGGGACAAGUAGAGGUCCCGCAGGUGGACCAGCUCGCUGAAGGCACUCUCGGGAAUGCUGCGGAUGUUGUUGCGCUCCAGGUGGAGAGAGACGGUAUCUGGCGGGAUCCCCUGCGGGAUCUCCUGCAGGCCGGCGUCCGAGCAGAGCACGGUAGACGUGUCCCAGGCACAGUGGCAGCUGGCUGGACACUGCGGGGAGGCUUGGCCCCACAGAGAGGUGGAAAACAGCAGGAUGCACAGCCAUGGCAGAAGGGCGCCGCCUUUAGCUCGUCGUCUCGUGGUGAUGCUGGUCCAUCUGUCCUCACACGGGCCCGGGCACAUGGCCUCACCAUAGCCCCCCGACGCACACCACGAUGAUGUCACCAGCAGUCUGAUAGCGACAGGAAAACUGAAUGACGUGUCUGAGUAUGCUGAAUGGACAAACAGUAGCUGUUGUGAAGGGAAGCUUCAUGAUAUUAGCAUUUAUUUGAAUAGGGAGACUCCCUGAUGUGUAAACAGCAGAUUUCGGCAUUGAAACGAUGAGACCUGACCAUCCAAGCUGUACAGUCUCCUUGUCUGACAGAGGACACACGCAGCUGCAAGGGGAAAAGCUGUACUUUUUUCCAAGAGCAAAGAGAAGCCAAAGAAGCACAUAUGAUAUGCAGCAAUGACAAGAGUUGAGCAUCUGUUUGGGGAUGGCCUUGACAAUGUGGACUCGGCCAAGUGAGGGCAUUAUCUGUUUCAGCAAAACACAAAGCGGAAUGAAACUAAACUGCAAACACAGGCUGACAGCAGGAGAAAAAAAAAAAAGAUCCAUCAGCAACAAGCAAGGUUGUGAUUGUGUGGACCGAAGAGGAAGGAGGACAUUUAAAAAAGAGCACACCCGCCCUGCUGUGUGGAUGUGAGUGAGCCUGAUAGAGUGGUGAGGAGUCAUAAAGGAAAAGCAGCGGAGCGUUCCUUGUCAGCCGCCUGCCGUUCUCACAGGAUUCAGUCCACUAAAAACAGGUCAGGAUGGGGUCAGGUGUUCCGCUCAGCCUCUCCGUAGCACAGUGGAACCGCUUUGGAGCUGGGUACA